UAAUACCGCAUAAUAUGUUUUGGUCGCAUGACCUAGACAUCAAAGGAGUAAUCCGCUUUGAGAUGGACCCGCGGCGCAUUAGCUAGUUGGUGAGGUAACGGCUCACCAAGGCGACGAUGCGUAGCCGACCUGAGAGGGUGAUCGGCCACAUUGGAACUGAGACACGGUCCAGACUCCUACGGGAGGCAGCAGUGGGGAAUAUUGCGCAAUGGGGGAAACCCUGACGCAGCAACGCCGCGUGAAUGAUGAAGGCCUUCGGGUUGUAAAGUUCUGUCUUCUGGGACGAUAAUGACGGUACCAGAGGAGGAAGCCACGGCUAACUACGUGCCAGCAGCCGCGGUAAUACGUAGGUGGCAAGCGUUGUCCGGAUUUACUGGGCGUAAAGGAUGCGUAGGCGGACAUUUAAGUCAGAUGUGAAAUACCCGAGCUUAACUUGGGUGCUGCAUUUGAAACUGGGUGUCUAGAGUGCAGGAGAGGUAAGUGAAUACCUAGG
rnacentral:rRNA from 1 species